UACAGAGGGUGCGAGCGUUAAUCGGAAUUACUGGGCGUAAAGCGUGCGUAGACGGUUAUUUAAGUCGGGUGUGAAAGCCCCGGGCUCAACCUGGGAAUUGCAUUCGAGACUGAAUAGCUAGGGUACGGUAGAGGGAAGUGGAAUUUCCGGUGUAGCGGUGAAAUGCGUAGAUAUCAUCAGGAACACCAGUGGCGAAGGCGGCUCACUGGGUCUUUCCUAACGCUGAGGCACGAAAGCUAGGGGAGCGAACGGG
rnacentral:rRNA from 1 species